GGGAUAACUGUCCGAAAGGAUAGCUAAUACCCUAUAUUGCCUUUUGUCACUGAGGCAAAAGGUGAAAGCGAGGCUGCCAAAGGCUUCGGCUCAAAGAGGGGUUCGCGUCCUAUCAGGUAGUUGGUGGGGUAAUGGCCUACCAAGCCAAUGACGGGUAGCUGGUCUUAGAGGAUGAUCAGCCACAGUGGGACUGAGACACGGCCCGCACCCCUACGGGGGGCAGCAGUGGGGAAUCGUGGGCAAUGGGCGCAAGCCUGACCCCGCAAUGCCGCGUGAGGGAAGAAGCCCUUCGGGGUGUAAACCUCUGUCAGAUGGGAAGAUGGGACUAGGGGCUAAUACCUCCUGGUCUUGACGGUACCAUCAGAGGAAGGGACGGCUAACUACGUGCCAGCAGCCGCGGUAAUACGUAGGUCCCGAGCGUUGCGCGAUGUUACUGGGCGUAAAGCGGCCGUAGCUGGUUUCGUAAGCGGAUUGUCAAAGCCCGAAGCUCAACUUCGGCAAGGCAUUCCGAACUGCGUUACUUGAGUCCUGUUCAGGUAGGCGGAAUUCCCGGUGUAGCGGUGAAAUGCGUAGAUAUCGGGAGGAACACCAGUGGCGAAGGCGGCCUACUGGGACGGUACUGACGGUCAUGGACGAAAGCUGGGGGAGCAAACCGGAUUAGAUACCCGGGUAGUCCCAGCCGUAAACGAUGGAUGUUAGGUGCAGUGAUAACUUCGCUGCACCCCAGCUAACGCGUUAAACAUCCCGCCUGGGGAGUACGGGCGCAAGCCUGAAACUCAAAGGAAUUGGCGGGGGCCCGCACAACCGGUGGAGCGUCUGGUUUAAUUCGAUGCUAACCGAAAAACCUUACCAGGGUUUGAAAUGGUAGGAAAGGCUGUCGAAAGAUAGCCGUGUUUCCCUUUUGGGAGAAAUCCUACCACAGGUGGUGCAUGGCCGUCGUCAGCUCGUGUUGUGAGAUGUUGGGUUAAGUCCCGCAACGAGCGCAACCCUUGUCCUUAUUUGCUUCCUCGUAUGAGGUGCUCUAUAAGGAGACUGCCGGCGACAAGCCGGAGGAAGGAGGGGACGACGUCAGGUCAGU
rnacentral:rRNA from 1 species